rnacentral:rRNA from 1 species
GACGAACGCUGGCGGCGUGCUUAACACAUGCAAGUCGAGCGGUAAGGGCCCUUUCGGGGGUACACGAGCGGCGAACGGGUGAGUAACACGUGGGUGACCUGCCCUCAGCUCUGGGAUAAGCCUGGGAAACUGGGUCGUAAUACGUGGAUAUGACUCCACGGUGCAUGUCGUGGGGUGGAAAGCCUUGUGCGGCUGAGGAUGGGCCCGCGGCCUAUCAGCUUGUUGGUGGGGUGANGGCCUACCAAGGCGACGACGGGUAGCCGGCCUGAGAGGGCGACCGGCCACA